rnacentral:rRNA from 1 species
UACGUAGGUGGCAAGCGUUGUCCGGAUUUACUGGGCGUAAAGCGCGCGCAGGUGGUUCGUAACGUCCGAGGUGAAAUCUCCCGGCUCAACUGGGAGGGGUCUUCGGAUACGGGCGGACUUGGAAGGAGAGCAGAGGUGAGUGGAAUUCGUGGGUGUAGUGGUGAAAUGCGUAGAUAUCCAGAGGAACACCAGUGGCGAAGGCGACUCACUGGCUCCACCUGACACUGAGGCGCGAAAGCGUGGGGAGCGAACCGG